UGAAACGAAGGGAAGCGGAUGAGCAAAGCUGUUGGUAUCGUGAUUUUGUGUGUGUGUGUGUCUUUUUCUCUGUUCCUCUCGUUCCCUUUUUUUUCUUCUUCUUCUUCCUCCCGGAGGACGAAGCAGGAUGAAGAAGAAGAAGAGGAUGUUGGAAAAAAAAAAGACUGGUCUGAAGCCAAAGUGGGGGCCGUGGCAGACGGGAGAGGGGCCGAGAGAUAUAGGCGUUGGGCUUUGCCACCGGAAAUGCUUCCCACGUGCUGCAUAAUGACCCUUUGACAUGGAGCCCAAGCGAAGCGUCCUCAACGGGCGUCGACAGCGUCUCGUCCCGUGCUACAGUCAUCUAUUUUUUUUUUCUUUUUUUUCUCUCCUCCCGUCUUUCUUAUUCUUAUAUAUUCUCCUUCUUUUUGACUCCCAACUUCUGCAUGACGUUGUCGUAACAAACCUCUCCCCCACUUUCCGUUUUUUUUUUCUCUCUCUCUCUCUCACUCUCUCCUUCUAUCUAUGUUUUUUGUUGUUGUAUGUAUGAUGUAUGUAUAUAUGUAACUCUGUGUGUGUGUGUGUGUGCGUGUGUGUUGUUUGUUUCGGUCUCCCUCACUCGCUCGCAAAUAGAUUAUUAUAUCUCGUUCCAUCCCUUUCCGGUCGUCCAUCUCUCUCUCUCUCUUCCAUCUUAUCACGGAAUGGUUAUUCUCAUUGACCCGCAGGUUUGGCGUUAGGUGCUGGCACCUCGCGGACCCGUAUCUAUCGUGUAUACGUAAUGCUGACUGCUCUGUGUAUUUAGAUUAUUAUUCCUUUUUUUUUUACUUUCAUCUAGAGACAACCGACCGUCAAAUAAAGGCCCGUCUACUAAAUGAUGGACUUCCUUCCUCAAUUUGAAGCGCGUUGCGCGGCCAUUACGGAUCUGCCACAGACAACAAACGAAAUCAAGUUGGCUUUUGAUGGACGAAGCGUGCGCAGUUGCACGCAGCUACCCCCUCCCCCUCCCCCCCUUAAAAAAAAAAACCCUUAUUCCAAGUAUCAGUCUGAUUUACUUCUCGCUUCUCCCUCUUUUAUUUUUUAUUUUUUUUUUGUUUUCUCCAAAAAAAGACACGGGGAAGUAAAAAGCAAGCAGACAUUCGGCGGUAACGCAAUGCAUCGUUUAGUUCGUUCCAAACGGCCUUUUUCUUUUACAUUCCUUAACUGAACGUCCGCGUGACAAUUUCUUAUGUCGUCCAACCCUCCCCCCCUCGUGGAGGAUAACAACACAAGGUUUGCUGGUCUUGCUCUUCAUCUCCUCCCCCCUCCCUCUCUAGUCUUUUCUCGUGUGUCUCUUUCGUUCUUUCCUUCGUGUUCCAGUGACUUCUACUUCUACUUCUUUUCUUUCUUUUUUUUUUUUAUUUCUCUUCCAGUAUGUGCGCGAAGGGACUGAGGGAGUCCAUUUUUGUGGACAUCUGUGGUGAACCAAAAUAAAACAGCGGCCGAGGAACGAAAAUGGGGAAAGAAAAAAAGAACAACAUAAGGGACAUGACUGUGUGUGUGAGAGUCUUUUUAGGCUGCGCGGGAGUCUUGCGGAAAAAAACAUUCCUUCUUGGGGAGGUACGUGAAGGCAUGGUGGGGGUCAGGAACUAAGAAAAAAAAGAAAAAAAAAAAAAAAAAAAGGAAGAGAGAAUGAAGAACUACUGGAGUAUAUAACCGCGACCGCCAACAACCAUCACGAAAACCAAGAACCAACCAAUCAACUACCCCUUUAAAAAAAAAAAAAAAAAAUGGGGGUUCGCCUCGGAGUACUAUAUCUUUUAGUUAGUGCCAGUGUAUAUACUGUUGUACGCUAAAGUCAAAGUGUAUACGUAAUUCUUUCCGUCCGCCUAUUCCCCCCUCUCUCUCUCUUCAGCUUCGCAGGCUCGUCGGCCGGCCACAGGAUCCUUCAACCUCCGACGCCCAAGUUAAUUAUAACUUGACGUCAGAACAGUCGAAUGACUUUCUUUUUUGUUUUUUUUCCCCAUCUUUUGUGGAAAAUGUAUGGAAAUCUGUGAAAUAAAAAUUAAAAAAAAAAUAAAAAUAAAA